ensembl:lncRNA
UGGGAAUUGAAUAGAUGAGUUUCUUCUGUUCGCUUGGGUUUAUUUCAUAAUAUUCUUUGACUCUUAAAAAAGACUCGUUGGGUGUGGUGGCAAACACCUGUUGUCCCAGCUCUCCUUGAGAGGCUGAAGCAGGAGGAUCAUGAGUCUGACGUCAGCCUCAGCUACAUAGUGAGGCUUUGUCUCAGAACAGUAGUGGCUCACAUGAUUGGUGUGUUCUGUACUAGGCUCUGGAAUGCUAACUUGCCUGUCCCAUGGGUAUAGGUGCUCUCACUGUAAAGCUAAGAGGGGAAAGUCUUGGUAGUGAGUGGCAGAGCCAAGAUUUGAACUAAGGAAUAUCUGCCGUGGGGUCUUGAUUACAUUAAGAUGAAGGAAGAUUUGCUGUGGACCAGAGCAUUACGGCACGGGACAGCUCUAAAGGUGAGUGGAGGGAAAAAACCCUGAGGAAUGGACCAGGUUGACGAGGGCCUCAACCUCCUGAAGGAUAGUGUUUGCUACUAGAUGGAGAAGUGACAACCAGGAGCCAAGUCCUGACAGACCUGGAGCUGGCUGCAGUGGCCCUGGGGGAUUGUCUCCAGGAUCUGGGAAUGGGGAGAAGGGGGGUUCCCAGGUCCUGCACUGCCACAGUCCUGCUCUGGCAGAAGUGGGUACUGUUGCAGAGUUACUUUGAGGGAUAGUCUGACCUGUCUGGCCCCCUUUUACCAGUUGUAACAAGAGUAGCCACACUAAUGUCUCCACCUCUGGGUCCAUGUGCUGAGUGGUGUGGGGUGGCACGUAGCCCAUGAGGCAGGACUUGUGAGUGCUGUCCUGUAGUCUCGGAAGUGCCUGUUGGGUGGGUUACACAGGACCUUAAGACCUGGGAGUUGGAGUAACUUAUGUGAUGGCCCCAUGUCCUAAAUGUUGGCCUCAAGGUGUAGGGAAAGGUGGAGUCUGUGUAGAGGAGUACAUGUUGGUCCAGGGCUGGGUGGGGUAUACAGCUACAUAGCAUUAGGGCUUCUGAGUCUGGUGGUAAGAAGAUCGGGUCUCCAGGAACAAUGAGGAGUGGAGAGCUGGCCAUAGAGGUGCACAUCUGUAACAGCACUCAGGAGGCUCAGGAGUUUGAGGACAUCCUGGGCUACGUAGUGAGUUCAAGGCCAGUUUGGACUGUGUAGCAAGAGCCUGUGUAAAAAUAGGACUGCCCUGGACUGGGGGAUCCAAAGAGGUCAGAGGUCCAGAGGCAGAGAGAGGUCGUCAGGAAUUGGACUUGUAUUGAGGCUGAGGGCCCAGAAGGGAGAAAGGUCGGGAUGUGUUGUCACACCCAAGUGGGGGUGUAGCUGGGGGCCAGCCUUCAUCGGGGAACCAUUGUUUCAUCUGACACGAUCUUGUCCUCAUAGCAGCUGGC